GACGAACCGAGCGAACGUUGUUCGGAAUCACUGGGCUUAAAGGGCGCGUAGGCGGGCGGUCAAGUCAGGGGUGAAAGCCCCCAGCUCAACUGGGGAAGUGCCUCUGAUACUGGCGGCCUCGAGGGAGGUAGGGGCGUGCGGAACUUCCGGUGGAGCGGUGAAAUGCGUAGAUAUCGGAAGGAACACCGGUGGCGAAAGCGGCGCGCUGGACCUCUUCUGACGCUGAGGCGCGAAAGCCAGGGAGGCGAACGGG
rnacentral:rRNA from 1 species